AGACGCCAAGUAAACAAACGCCGAAACGCGUACCAAAUUAAAAGAUUCAAACUCCAGUUUCUUUCCUCCAGUGCUACCGCCUCCGCUGCCGACGGCACAUAAGGCCAGCGCCAGCCUCAGCUGCUCCACUUCUUCUUCAAUCUGUGCAGGACCGAAAAUAAUGCUUUUCAUGAGGAAAUCGAGGCAUCAUAUGUUUUCUUUACUUACUAAUAGGGGUUAUAACUCCGCUCGGAUUUCACAACUCCAAAUUCAGGAGAGUUUGGAGUCGCGUAAGAAUCUAUGAGCCUGUUGGCUACUCUUUGAGGAAGUUGCUGCAUUCUUGCUUUAUCAAAUACAUGUUUUUCGUAGUGGAAGACCUUUAAAAUCAUCAAAGCAGAAGAGCCUGAAAAAUUAUUGUUUUUCUUUUACUUCAAAAUUAUGAGUUUUUUCAUUCUAAAGACUAAAGUUUUGAAUUAGUAAAGAGAAUUCAAAAGUCAGAUUUUUUUGUUUCCCUAUUAUUUUUUAUAGGCAUAAAAAUAAUUUAAAUGAAAUCAAAGCAGUGGCGAGGGAGUUGAAGAUAAUGCUAAAAAGAGAAAUCUGAAAUCAAUAAAGAAGAUAACAAAUUGCUCUGAAAGUUGAAAUAUGCAAGGAGUGGGAGCUACAGGAGCAGGGAUAUGUUUCUGGAGCCUGAGAAGCAUUUGAGCAGGGUUUGGGCUAGGGAUAGAGACGCUCCGGCUUGAAAGAAGAGUAGGAAACUGAUUUGCAUAAACUAGAUCGAAAGUGAAAUAGCUUGUUUGACUUGUUUGCUGUAAACCGUGGCACAGAUGAUGACCAAGAUUUUGCUGACAUUUGCAGAUCAAAGAAUUCAUGAAGCAGCUUAUUGCUGCCCUUCGCGGAUGGACCUUCGGAUAAGGACAUCACAAAUUUCCGUAGACUUGUUUGACUGAUGAAGGUGCGGUUCCAUUUGAAAGCAUACUCCUUCCUAUGUAUAGAACCAUAACAUUCAACUUCUGUAAUCAUCUUCAUUUCAUGAAAUUCUGGAAUUUUAGGUUCCAAAAUUGUUCUAUUGCAUUACAUGAUACAUAGUUUGAGAUGUUUACAUUGUCACCACAAUAAGAUGGAAAAUCUUCAAUCCUUUCAAACAGUGUGUUGGCUUUGGUUUCACAGGUAAUAAAGUAUCUGUAUCAUAAGCUGAUAAUUUUCAAGAAAUUUGGAGGGUAACUUCAAAUG